rnacentral:rRNA from 1 species
AACGAACGCUGGCGGCAGGCCUAACACAUGCAAGUCGAACGCCCUAGCAAUAGGGAGUGGCAGACGGGUGAGUAACACGUGGGAACCUUCCCUAUAGUACGGAAUAGCCCAGGGAAACUUGGAGUAAUACCGUAUGCGCCCGAAAGGGGAAAGAUUUAUCGCUAUAGGAUGGGCCCGCGCCGGAUUAGCUAGUUGGUGGGGUUAUGGCUCACCACGGCAACGAUCCGUAGCUGGUUUGAGAGAAUGACCAGACACACUGGGACUGGGACACGGCCCAGACUCAUACGGGAGGACGCAGUGGGGAAUCUUGGACAAUGGGCGCAAGCCUGAUCCAGCCAUGCCGCGUGAGUGAUGAAGACCCUAGGGUUGUAAAGAUCUUUUGUCGGGGACGAUAAUGACGGUACCCGAAGAAUAAGCUCCGGCUAACUUCGUGCCAGCCGCCGCCGUAA